GAAACCAACAGGGAUUGCCUCAGUAACGGCGAGUGAAGCGGCAAAAGCUCAAAUUUGAAAUCUAGCACUUUCAGUGUUCGAGUUGUAAUUUGAAGAAGGUAACUUUGGUUUUGGCUCUUGUCUAUGUUCCUUGGAACAGGACGUCACAGAGGGUGAGAAUCCCGUGCGAUGAGAUGCCCAAUUCCAUGUAAAGUGCUUUCGAAGAGUCGAGUUGUUUGGGAAUGCAGCUCUAAGUGGGUGGUAAAUUCCAUCUAAAGCUAAAUAUUGGCGAGAGACCGAUAGCGAACAAGUACAGUGAUGGAAAGAUGAAAAGAACUUUGAAAAGAGAGUGAAAAAGUACGUGAAAUUGUUGAAAGGGAAGGGCUUGAGAUCAGACUUGGUAUUUUGCGUUCCCUUCCUUUUUGGUUGGGUUCCUCGCAGUUUACUGGGCCAGCAUCGGUUUGGAUGGUAGGAUAAUGACAUUGGAAUGUAGCUUUACUUCGGUGAAGUGUUAUAGACUUUGUUGAUACUGCCUAUCUAGACCGAGGACUGCGUCUU
rnacentral:rRNA from 1 species